AAUCUUCCGCAAUGGACGAAAGUCUGACGGAGCAACGCCUCGUGAGUGAUGAAGGUUUUCGGAUCGUAAAACACUUUUGUUAUGGAAGAACAAGUAACGGAAUAACUGCCGGUACUGUGACGGUACCUAACCAGAAAGCCACUGCUUACUACGUGCCAGCAGCCGCGGUAAUACGUAGGUGGCAAGCGGUGUCCGGAAUUAUUGGGCGUAAAGCGCGCGCAGGCGGUCUUUUAAGUCUGAUGUGAAAGCCCCCGGCUCAACCGGGGAGGGUCAUUUGAAACUGGGAUAAUUGAGUGCAGAAGAGAAGAGUGGAAUUCCACGUGUAGCGGUUAAAUGCGUAGAGAUGUGGAGGAACACCAGUGGCGAAGGCGACUCUUUGGUCUGUAACUGACGCUGAGGCGCGAAAGCGUGGGGAGCAAAC
rnacentral:rRNA from 1 species